rnacentral:lncRNA from 1 species
GAGUUCAUAGUUGUCGGAUCGGUCCGGAAAUUGAUUUAAUUUAGAAAUUAAUAUAGAAAAGAGUUUUGAGUAAUUAUAUUAUCUUUAACGGAGGCAAACUAAAUUAAUAUUUUUAUUAAAAAAAUAAUUUUUUUAAAAAAAACUUUUUAGACUUUUGUAUAAAUUAAUCAAAUUAAAUUAACAAGAUUUUACUAAAUUAAUAAUUUAUUAAAUUUAACUUAAAAUCUAAUUUAAUAUCACAGCC